GCCAGCGCCGCCAUGCGGGCUGGCUUGAGACGACGGCGAGGCCGUCAGUCCUCGUAACCAUGUUGCUCGCAGGGGAUGUGGCUAUGGGAC
rnacentral:sRNA from 1 species